GCCUUUUGGUGGCAAGCAAAGAGUAGAAAUGGUGGAGACCUUGCUUUGGGGCGCCAUGCUCUUUGGCUUCUAAAAAACCCUUCGCUUCACUGUCUAUCUCUUUCUUUGCCUUUCUUUUUUCCCCCGUGGAAACGUGCAUGCGGGAAUAUAAGAUUAAUUUGCUUGGGUUCUCCACAGAAUGCGCGCACCACACAAAUAUUACAACUGCCUCUCAGGAUAAAGCUUUUAUCCAUACUACUUCUCCUUCAUCUUUUCUUUCAACUGGACUAAUUUGAUUUUCUUUCCGUUCUCACACCUUGACCAUGGUGUUAGCUUUCAGCUUCAUUUCAUUGCUCCAACCAAGGAAGAAAUUUGGGCUUCUGUUUCGUUUCUUCCAUGAGUGGCCAUUCAAUUAUAAGCAACUUGUCUUUCCAAGCUAAGAAUAAUGACAUGGAGGCAUCCAUGCAAGGGGAAUCAAGAGCUCCUGAAUGCAAUUAACUAGUACGGUGUGCAAAUGCUUGAAGUGAAAUGUAAUAAAAUUUUCUUGUUCUACUCA